rnacentral:rRNA from 1 species
UACGUAGGUGGCAAGCGUUGUUCGGAAUUACUGGGCGUAAAGGGCGCGUAGGCGGCCUGCUAAGUCGAACGUGAAAUCCCCGGGCUCAACCCGGGAACUGCGUCCGAGACUGGCGGGCUUGAAUCCGGGAGAGGGAUGCGGAAUUCCAGGUGUAGCGGUGAAAUGCGUAGAUAUCUGGAGGAACACCGGUGGCGAAGGCGGCAUCCUGGACCGGCAUUGACGCUGAGGCGCGAAAGCCAGGGGAGCAAACGGG